UACAGAGGGGGCAAGCGUUGUUCGGAAUUACUGGGCGUAAAGGGCGCGUAGGCGGCCUGCUAAGUCGAACGUGAAAUCCCGGGGCUCAACCUCGGAACUGCCUUUGAUACAGCAAGUCUUGAGUUCGAGAGAGGUGGGUGGAAUUCCUAGUGUAGAGGUGAAAUUCGUAGAUAUUAGGAAGAACACCGGUGGCGAAGGCGGCCCACUGGCUCGAUACUGACGCUGAGGUGCGAAAGCGUGGGGAGCAAACAGG
rnacentral:rRNA from 1 species